GAACGCACCUUGCGCCCUUUGGCUAUUCCGAAGGGCAUGCCUGUUUGAGUGUCAUGAAAUUCUCAACUACUUUUUUAACAUUUUAUGUGUUAAGGGUGAAGUUGGAGUUGGAGGAUAAUUGCUGGCGCAACUCUUGUCUAAGGUUGCUUGUUGGCUCCUCUUGAAUGGAUGAGCUUUUCUAAUGGAUCAUAGCUCAGUAACACUAAUGUGAUAAUUAUCUACGUUAGAUGUGAAAACUAUGAGUAGAGUGGAAGCUCCUAUAGAAAAGAAGAUAAUAUGUCUUGGGUGAUAACAAACCCUUGAACUUUGACAAAUCUGACCUCAAAUCAGGUAGGACUACCCGCUGAACUUA
rnacentral:misc_RNA from 1 species